CCUACGGGAGCAGCAGUGGGGAAUAUUGGACAAUGGGCGAAAGCCUGAUCCAGCCAUGCCGCGUGUGUGAAGAAGGCCUUCGGGUUGUAAAGCACUUUCAGUGGGGAAGAAAGCCUUGGGGCUAAUACCCUCGAGGAAGGACAUCACCCACAGAAGAAGCACCGGCUAACUCCGUGCCAGCAGCCGCGGUAAUACGGAGGGUGCGAGCGUUAAUCGGAAUUACUGGGCGUAAAGCGCGCGUAGGCGGUCUGAUAAGCCGGUUGUGAAAGCCCCGGGCUCAACCUGGGAACGGCAUCCGGAACUGUCAGGCUAGAGUGCAGGAGAGGAAGGUAGAAUUCCCGGUGUAGCGGUGAAAUGCGUAGAGAUCGGGAGGAAUACCAGUGGCGAAGGCGGCCUUCUGGACUGACACUGACGCUGAGGUGCGAAAGCGUGGGUAGCAAACAGGAUUAGAUACCCGGGUAGUC
rnacentral:rRNA from 1 species